rnacentral:rRNA from 1 species
AGAGUUUGAUCCUGGCUCAGAACGAACGCUGGCGGCAGGCUUAACACAUGCAAGUCGAGCGCCUUGGCAACAAGGAGCGGCAGACGGGUGAGUAACGCGUGGGAAUCUACCCAACCCUACGGAACAACUCCGGGAAACUGGAGCUAAUACCGUAUACGCCCUUCGGGGGAAAGAUUUAUCGGGGAUGGAUGAGCCCGCGUUGGAUUAGCUAGUUGGUGGGGUAAAGGCCUACCAAGGCGACGAUCCAUAGCUGGUCUGAGAGGAUGAUCAGCCACAUUGGGACUGAGACACGGCCCAAACUCCUACGGGAGGCAGCAGUGGGGAAUAUUGGACAAUGGGCGCAAGCCUGAUCCAGCCAUGCCGCGUGAAUGAUGAAGGCCUUAGGGUUGUAAAGUUCUUUCACCGGAGAAGAUAAUGACGGUAUCCGGAGAAGAAGCCCCGGCUAACUUCGUGCCAGCAGCCGCGGUAAUACGAAGGGGGCUAGCGUUGUUCGGAAUUACUGGGCGUAAAGCGCACGUAGGCGGAUAUUUAAGUCAGGGGUGAAAUCCCAGAGCUCAACUCUGGAACUGCCUUUGAUACUGGGUAUCUUGAGUAUGGAAGAGGUAAGUGGAAUUGCGAGUGUAGAGGUGAAAUUCGUAGAUAUUCGCAGGAACACCAGUGGCGAAGGCGGCUUACUAGUCCAUAACUGACGCUGAGGUGCGAAAGCGUGGGGAGCAAACAGGAUUAGAUACCCUAGUAGUCC